rnacentral:lncRNA from 10 species
AAACCAGGCAAUAUUAUUUCUUAUCUAUGCAAAUGGAAUAGUAGUUUCCACUUUUGUCUAGGUCUCCUCAAGACUUAAUCUGUCGGGAAUUUUAUGUGCCCAUGGUCGGCUUCAUCUGUCUUCCAGACAGAGUGAUAAAAAGUGGAAUCACAGCUAAUGGAGUCCCAUGCAGUGUGCUGCCAAUCUCUAGCAUCUUUGGAAGUUACAUCUAUCAGCGUGGAAUUCUCACCUGAGGCCUGCUCGUUCAACAAACGUCGUCUGAGGGCCUGCUAUGUGACUGGAAAUGUGCUAAGCAUUAGGUAUGCCACUUAAAUCAAAAUUGUUAUUUAUUAUUAAUAUUUGUCCACUGCUAAUUAAUUUUAUUUUCCCAUGAACAGAUUUUUCCAUGAAAUCUAACAAUCACAGGGAAUCAAGUCUGUUAGAAAAGUUUGGAACUAAGAAAUAGGUGAUUACACUUGGUAUCAAACAUGAGUUAAUGAUUGGAAUUCAAUGAAACUGAUUUUUCCAAUGAGGCUGGUAAAUUUGAUCUAAAGUGAGUUCCAGACUAAGGGAAAAGUAAUAUUUAUUGAACACUUAAUAUGUUCCAAAAAUUAUAUUUUCCAAACACCACUUUAGGGAACUAUCUCAAAAGCCCAUCAUCUGUACUUGCCAGUGAGAUUCAGUGAUUGUUACAGAUCAGUUUGCUAGGAGUUGGCAGUGGCAGAUACAAUCUCACAUCACUCUGAUGUCAAAGUCAAAGACCAUGUUCUUUCAGUUACAACGGUAACAUAUCCCUGGGAGUUUCAAACAUUUUAUGGGCAAAGGCAAUAAAAUUGAAAUAUUUACAUAGCUUCCUGGGGGAACCACUUAGAAAUAAGAAAACACAAGUAUACAUAUGUAACAAACCUGCACGUUAUGCACAUGUACCCUAGAACUUAAAGUAUAAAAAAAAAAAAGAAAUAAGAAAACACAGGGGAUCAGUAAGUUUUGAGUUGUUUAUCAAAGAACAUCAUUCUUUUUGAUAAGUGUACCUUGUACCUCCAUGCAAGAAGAAGAGCAAUUUCCAUUCCAACAAAAGACAGCAAAUUCCAGCUGAAGGAUGACGAGAUGAGAUUUACAAUGGAUUACCCGAUGAAAAUCACUAGACAGUAACUCCAAGAUGAUGGGAUUACAAACUUUAAAGCACUUCAAACCUAUAAUUGUUUGCCACAUUUGUGAUCUAACUUGAGGGUACCUAAUCCCUAUUUGUUGUAAUACAGAGAAUUUCCCAGCACUAAAACAAAAAUCUCCAAAUAGGUAAUAUGUUUCUUUGUUCUUCCAUAACAUUGUCAUCACCAAAACCCAAUCAGACAGCCCUGACACCAUGUCCUCUUCUUAGAAUCAAAUUGGGGAGAUAAUAGCAAAAACCAUCAUUUAUUACAAAUUCACUAUGUACAUUAUUAUACUUCAUGCUCUUAAUGUAGCUAAGAAGUGGACAUUAUUAUUAUAAUACCUCUUUUAUAGCUGAGGUUUACAGAAUGUAAGGAUUUUUCAUACAACACAUAGUUGUAAGCAAUGAAUGCAGGAUUUGAACCCAGUGGUAUUCAACCACAAAUCUUCAUUUUUUAACUAUUAUACUAUAAGUUUAUCAUCACUGCAAGAAAAGUAAAAAUAAUUUUAAAGCAUAAAAAAUAAAAAUAAAGGUUAUAAAUAUCAAUUUAGUACCACAGUACAAAAAGAAAAUGGGUUACAUAGUACCAAAUAUGUGGGAGAGUAAUGAGGGCCCUUGGAUUUUGAAAGUCUGAGUCAGACUCCACAGAAAAUGGUAAAGCGUUCUUGAGAAGACUUUUUCUGUCUUAAACUGAAAUAAUAAUUUAUCACUCAACAGUUUUCGCUCUUUGGUUUGUAGAUAAAAUUUUUGUUAUGAAUUAAAUAAUAUUAUAAUUGUUAUUUCAAUAAAUAGCAAGUUAUAGAAGCAUGAGUGCUGGCCUUUCUUAGCACAAUGUCCUGCCGUUAACCUACCAAUUGUCCUCUUCAGCCCCACUUUUUUCUUCUUGAUUCAACACUGGCCCAGAUAAUGGAAUCAGCAAUUCAAAAAGGCUCAGCCACACUUAGGGAGUUCUCCUGGGUGCCAAGUAUUGUCCAAAAUGCCUCACAAACAUCCCAGUGAGUUCUCUUGGUGUUCCAUUAUCUAUAUUUUCCAAAUAAGAUAUAUAAAGGAAAAAUACCUGUGUAGCCCUUUGAAAAUUAAGAAAAAGUUUCUUCCCAAGGUGGAUUCGUGAGAUUUCUUUUUCUGAAAUCUCCUGAAUCCACCUUUCUUCUUGUCUUAGAAAUGAGCUGGAUAUGACUCAUUUAUGGUGCCAGAGAGAGA